CACGUAGGGGGCAAGCGUUGUCCGGAUUUAUUGGGCGUAAAGAGCUCGUAGGCGGCUCAGUAAGUCGGGUGUGAAACCUCCAGGCUCAACCUGGAGACGCCACCCGAUACUGCUGCGGCUUGAAUCCAGGAGAGGUGAGUGGAAUUCCGAGUGUAGAGGUGAAAUUCGUAGAUAUUCGGAAGAACACCAGUGGCGAAGGCGGCUCACUGGACUGGUAUUGACGCUGAGGUGCGAAAGCGUGGGGAGCAAACAGG
rnacentral:rRNA from 1 species